ensembl:lncRNA
AUGUUCUCUUUCAGUUAUCUGUUGNCAACGUUGACCUUAACUCCAACCUCUGACCUGCACAAUGCCACUGUAACAUGUGAAGUGAGCUACGGAAGCAAAAACAUCAGUACAAGUAGGACCCUCGAAGUCAUGUGUGAUACAAAUAAACUGAAAAUGAACAGUCCUGGAAGUGAAAACAUGCCACUGAAUGACACCACCACAAAAACUACAGAAACUCAAGGUAUAAAAGAUUUCUUUAAGAAUCUGACCGUCUCAACGAUACUCACAUUUGUGGUGGGAAUGGUGUGUUCAGCGCUCAUCUUCUCAAUGGUUUUGUGUUGUUGGGUGUCUUGCCACAGAGGCAAACACAAAGUGCCAACUGCAAAUCCGGACACUGAAGUCAAUUUGGAGAUGGUGCAGACAGACGUAGCUCAGACUGGAACCAAUGAGCAAACACCUCUUCAUGGACAGCUUAAUGGAGGGAACCCAAACACGGCUGAACCGACAGACAGGGCAGAGGUAGAUGAAGCAGUCGGGAUGGAAGCAGGAGAGGUCGACUACGCCAGCAUCGACUACUCCCUUCUAAAGGACCGACCGCCUGAGGAGCAAGAGACGGAACCUACAGACACAGACUACGCUGAGAUCAAGAGGGACAGGAGAGGAGAUGGGAAGGAAAGGGAAGUCCUUCAGGAUGGAGAUGACCAGCUUGAAACACCCAACCAGAUGGAUGGAGAGGAGGAACUUUAUUCCAACUCACAGGAGCUGAAAAGUUAAGGAACUACAGUCUUAACUACACCCAACAAUAUUACAAUUUUUAAGAUAAUGUUUAUAUAUUAAGUUCAGUUGCUUAAGAAGUAUAGAAUGUAUUAUUUUUGAGCUUUUAUGUGUCUAACUUAAUAGUUGCAUAAAAUUUCAUUAGAUUAUUCUCCAACAUCUGUUUAUUUGUUUUAAAUGUGUGAAAAUAUUAAUUUCCCAUUUUCUUUCAAGUUGUUGUUUUUUUUGGUCUGUUUUUUGUAUAAGGUUUCUAAUAUGCAUUUAAGGAAGUUCGAGCUUCCUGCAACCGCUGCAAAUAUUUUUUAUGUAAACUAAAUAAAGUUUCAGAUAGUUACCUUCCGCUUCA